ACAGACUAACUCGGUUCCCCCUCUGAAGCUUCUGAACUUGACCAGUUAUGAUGUAAACUUCAAAGAAAUGUGCAGAAGGAUGCAGCAGCAGACGUCCAAUUAAGUAAAGUCUAUGCAGCCUGGGAUAACAGGGAUCCAAAUUGAUGAAAGUCCUGUGUCUCUUCCCCGUUGCUCCUCUCACAGUCCCACAACCAAGCGGAAUAGGAUGGCGUGCUCAAGGUAACCGCCACGAUGAAACUGAGCACAAGGCCCGGGACUGACUACUCUGGUGCUCAGAGUAAAGACCCUGGAGAAGAUGCAGCCACUGCCAUGAAAAAUUCACCCAUAUUCUCCAUCUCUAAGGGCCAGAUGGGCAUAUUCUGCAUGAUCAAGUUUUUGCUGCUGAUGGAUACUGGUAAUGAUAGACAUCAGUCCAUCCUCUUUUCAACUUCUGACUCUUUACAGGUGCAUCUGUGAGAAGGUUCCCAGUUUUGGAAUCACAGACGUAGUCCUCUUGGUCUAUCCCUGGGUCAUGCGACUGACACUUGCCUUCUUGCUCUCUGGGUCUCCCACCACCUGGUCCUGCUGGGCCAGAUCCUCUGGUCUCCUCCAGACAAGGCACAGAGUUGAGGUUACUGCCCCCUGCAGAGUAAUGUAGGAACUGAACCCCUUUAGCUCUGGAAGGGUUCAGCUCUAAGUGCUCAACACACAGCAAACCAAUCUACAAAUGGGACCAAAACCCCCAAAUAAAUCCAUCUUACUCUGUGUAAAAAUUUUAUACAAAGAAAGUUUCAAGGUUAGACCCCUUUAUCAAUGAAAGAGAGAAAUGACAGUGCUCCCCUACCCCCACAGGUAACAAUUAUUUA